CCUACGGGAGGCAGCAGUGGGGAAUAUUGCACAAUGGGGGAAACCCUGAUGCAGCGACGCCGCGUGAGCGAAGAAGUAUUUCGGUAUGUAAAGCUCUAUCAGCAUGGAAGAAAAUGACGGUACCUGAUUAAGAAGCUCCGUCUAAAUACUUGCCAGCAGCCGCGGUAAUACGGAGGGAGCAAGCGUUAUCCGGAUUUACUGGGCGUAAAGGGAGCGUAGGCGGUGUACCAAGUCUGAUGUGAAAUACCGGGGCUCAACCCCAGGGUUGCAGUGGAAACUGGCAGGCUGGAGUGCAGGCGAGGUAGGCGGAAUGCGUGGUGUAGCGGUGAAAUGCGUAGAUAUUAGGAGGAACACCAGUUGCGAAGGCAGCCUGCUGGACGAUGACUGACGCUGAGGCUCGAAAGCGUGGGGAGCAAACAGGAUUAGAUACCCCUGUAGUC
rnacentral:rRNA from 1 species